UUUUCCGCAAUGGGCGAAAGCCUGACGGAGCAACGCCGCGUGAGGGAGGAAGGCCUUCGGGUCGUAAACCUUUGUCAUCGAGGACGAUAAUGACGGUACUCGAGGAGGAAGCCCCGGCUCACUACGUGCCAGCAGCCGCGGUAACACGUAGGGGGCGAGCGUUGUCCGGAAUUACUGGGCGUAAAGGGCGCGUAGGCGGCCCAAUAAGUCAGAUGUGAAAGUCCUGGGCUUAACCCAGGGAUUGCAUUUGAAACUGUUGGGCUUGAGGACAGGAGAGGAAAGCGGAAUUCCCAGUGUAGCGGUGAAAUGCGUAGAUAUUGGGAGGAACACCAGUGGCGAAGGCGGCUUUCUGGACUGUCCCUGACGCUGAGGCGCGAAAGCCAGGGGAGCGAACGG
rnacentral:rRNA from 1 species